AGCUCCAAUAGCGUAUAUUAAAGUUGUUGCAGUUAAAAAGCUCGUAGUUGGAUUUCGGAAUGGGUCAGUUGGUCCGCCUCACGGUGUGUUACUGGUUGAUCUGUUCUUCUUCGCAAAGACUGCGUAUUCUCUUCAUUGAGUGUGCGCAGAAUUUACGACGUUUACUUUGAAAAAAUUAGAGUGUUCAAAGCAGGCCUACCGCUUGAAUACAUGAGCAUGGAAUAAUGGAAUAGGACUUUGGUCUUAUUUCGUUGGUUUCUGGAACCGAAGUAAUGAUUAAGAGGGACAGUUGGGGGCAUUCGUAUUUCGUUGUCAGAGGUGAAAUUCUUGGAUUUACGAAAGACGAACAACUGCGAAAGCAUUUGCCAAGAAUGUUUUCA
rnacentral:rRNA from 1 species